GUGCUCACUUUGGCAGCGCAUAUACUAAAAUUAGAACGAUACAGAGAAGAUGAGCAUGGUCCCUGCACGAGGAUGACACGCAAACUCACUUACUCCAGGAGAGAUUG